CUACCGGCAGCUCGAGUGAUGGCCGCUGUUAUUGGGCCUAAAGCGUCCGUAGCCGGCCGCACAAGUCCGUCGGGAAAUCCACCCGCCUAACGGGUGGGCGUCCGGCGGAAACUGUGCGGCUUGGAGCCGGAAGAUCCGAGGGGUACGUCCGGGGUAGGAGUGAAAUCCCGUAAUCCUGGACGGACCGCCGGUGGCGAAAGCGCCUCGGAAGGACGGACCCGACGGUGAGGGACGAAAGCUAGGGCCUCGAACCGGAUUAGAUACCCGGGUAGUCCUAGCUGUAAACGAUGCUCGCUAGGUGUGGCGCAGGCUACGAGCCUGCGCUGUGCCGUAGGGAAGCCGUGAAGCGAGCCGCCUGGGAAGUACGUCCGCAAGGAUGAA
rnacentral:rRNA from 2 species